CAGCAGCCGCGGUAAAACGUAGGGGGCGAGCGUUGUCCGAAGUUACUGGGCGUAAAGCGCGCGUAGGCGGCUUCUUAAGUCUGAGGUGAAAGGUUCAACGCUUAACGUGAACAGUGCCUUGGAUACUGGGGAGCUUGAGUAUGGGAGAGGGCAGUGGAAUGGCUGGUGUAGCGGUGAAAUGCGUAGAUAUCAGUCGGAACACCCAUGGCGAAGGCAGCUGCCUGGCCUAAUACUGACGCUGAGGUGCGAAAGCGUGGGGAGCGAACAGGAUUAGAUACCCCGGUAGUCCCUGUCUCUUAUA
rnacentral:rRNA from 1 species